rnacentral:rRNA from 1 species
GAUGAACGCUGGCGGCGUGCUUAACACAUGCAAGUCGAACGAACCUUCGGGUUAGUGGCGGACGGGUGAGUAACGCGUGGGAAUCUGCCCUCAGGAGGGGGAUAACGGUUGGAAGCGGCCGCUAAUACCCCAUAUGCCGAGAGGUGAAAUGAAUUUCGCCUGAGGAUGAGCCCGCGUCUGAUUAGCUAGUUGGUGAGGUAAGAGCUCACCAAGGCAUCGAUCAGUAGCUGGUCUGAGAGGAUGAUCAGCCACACUGGGACUGAGACACGGCCCAGACUCCUACGGGAGGCAGCAGUGGGGAAUUUUCCGCAAUGGGCGAAAGCCUGACGGAGCAACGCCGCGUGAGGGAUGAAGGCCUCUGGGCUGUAAACCUCUUUUAUCAAGGAAGAAGAUCUGACGGUACUUGAUGAAUAAGCCACGGCUAAUUCCGUGCCAGCAGCCGCGGUAAUACGGGAGUGGCAAGCGUUAUCCGGAAUUAUUGGGCGUAAAGCGUCCGCAGGCGGCCCAACAAGUCUGCUGUUAAAAAGUGGAGCUUAACUCCAUCAUGGCAGUGGAAACUGUUGGGCUCGAGUGUGGUAGGGGCAGAGGGAAUUCCCGGUGUAGCGGUGAAAUGCGUAGAUAUCGGGAAGAACACCAGUGGCGAAGGCGCUCUGCUGGGCCAUCACUGACGCUCAUGGACGAAAGCCAGGGGAGCGAAAGGGAUUAGAUACCCCUGUAGUCCUGGCCGUAAACGAUGAACACUAGGUGUCGGGGGGAAUCGACCCCUCCGGUGUCGUAGCCAACGCGUUAAGUGUUCCGCCUGGGGGAGUACGCACGCAAGUGUGAAACUCAAAGGAAUUGACGGGGGCCCGCACAAGCGGUGGAAGUAGGUGGUUUAAUUCGAUGCAACGCGAAGAACCUUACCAGGGUUUGACAUCCUGCGAAUCUCUUGGAAACUUGAGAGUGCCUUCGG